rnacentral:rRNA from 1 species
UACGGAGGAUGCGAGCGUUAUCCGGAUUUAUUGGGUUUAAAGGGUGCGCAGGCGGCACGGCAAGCCGGCGGUCAAAUCGCGGGGCUCAACCCCGCCCAGCCGUCGGAACCGCCGGGCUAGAGUGGGCGAGAAGUGCGCGGAAUGCGUGGUGUAGCGGUGAAAUGCAUAGAUAUCACGCAGAACUCCGAUUGCGAAGGCAGCGCACCGGCGCCCUACUGACGCUCAGGCACGAAAGCGUGGGUAUCGAACAGG